UACGGGGGGGGCAAGCGUUGUUCGGAUUUACUGGGCGUAAAGGGCGCGUAGGCGGUCACUACAAGUCAGUUGUGAAAUCUCUGGGCUUAACUCAGAACGGUCAACUGAUACUGUUGGACUAGAGUGCAGAAGGGGCAACUGGAAUUCUCGGUGUAGCGGUGAAAUGCGUAGAUAUCGAGAGGAACACCUGCGGCGAAGGCGGGUUGCUGGGCCGACACUGACGCUGAGGCGCGAAAGCCAGGGGAGCGAACGGG
rnacentral:rRNA from 1 species